rnacentral:lncRNA from 1 species
AUGUACAAGGAAAAAGAUAUUUACUAAAAGCAAAAUAAGGAAAAACAAACACACACAUCUGGCGUGUGUGUGUGUGUCGCCCCAAGCAGGAGAAAAAGAGGAGAAACCCUAAAAUCCUUGAAGUUGCAAAAUUGAGAAGGGAAAUUGAAGCUAAUCAUAUGCAUGAAUCUGAAUGUGCAACCAUUUAAGCCUACUAAUCAAGUGGGAUCAUGUGGAAAUGGACUCAAGAACGGAAGGUUAACGGGUCAAGCGGAGGCGAGGAAGCAAGCAUGAACACUAACGCUCGAGGUAAGUGAUUCUAAUUUCACUUUUUAGCUUGUUUAAAUAAGGUAUUGUUCUAGAUAAUUGAGUAUGUUACGAAGUCAAACAUGGAUUUGGUUGAAUGAAAACGAUGGUUCUCGCUAAGUAGAUCGAAUGUGUCAAAUGAAGUUUUGUUGUCAUAACAUAAU